AACGUCGAUGGAUACACCAAUAGGGUUGUCGAUCGAUGUUCCUUCCAGCAAGCUUUAGCGAGCGGGUUUGAAUUAUGUUCACUAGGUUUCCUAGAUAAACUUCUGUUUGUUUCUUGCAGUCCUAGCACAAUAUGAAUCAGUUCAGGUAAAAGACCAAGCUUCCGCUUGCGCCUAAUUAUCCUAAUAUGUUCUAGUUAGCUACUCUAGAACACAAGCAAUGAGAUCAACUCAAUUGAUGGAUAUCACUAACAACUCAACAAUUCUAUAUUCGGGGCUAAUCUUUCAUAAUCCUAUUUGAAACCUAAACCUAACAAGGUGAACUACUCAG
rnacentral:lncRNA from 1 species